rnacentral:rRNA from 1 species
GCUUAGAAGCAGCCACUCAUUAAAAGAGUGCGUAAUAGCUCACUGGUCGAGUGACUCUGCGCCGAAAAUUUAACGGGGCUAAACUAUACACCGAAGCUUGGGAUACAUCUAAUGUAUGGUAGGAGAGCGUUCUGUAUGGGGAGAAGUCGUAGCGAAAGCGGCGGUGGACUAUACAGAAGUGAGAAUGCCGGAAUAAGUAGCGAGAAUUAAGUGAGAAUCUUAAUGGCCGAAAGUCUAAGGUUUUUGGAGGAAGGUUCGUCCGCUCCAAGUAAGUCGGGAGCUAAGGUCAGGCCGAAAGGCGUAGCCGAUGCACAUACGGUUGAUAUUCCGUAACCAUCUGUAAUUUAAGCAAAGGGACACUUCAAAAGGGUGUGACCCGGGCGUUGGUUGACCCGGGCGUAAGGGACCGAAAUUAGAGUAGGGAAGCACACUUAGCUGAAGGCGAGAAAAGCUUUGCGUAUAGAAACAGAUGCCCGUACCGCAAACCGACACAGGUGGACAGGAAGAGAAUUCUAAGGCCAGCGGGAGAAGGGUAGUUAAGGAACUCGGCAAAUUGACUCCGUAACUUCGGAAUAAGGAGUGCUCGAAAGAGCCGCAGAGAAUAGGCCCAGGCGACUGUUUAGCAAAAACACAGGUCUCUGCCAAAUCGAAAGAUGAAGUAUAGGGGCUGACACCUGCCCGGUGCCGGAAGGUUAAGAGGAGGAGUGAGAGCUCCGAAUUGAAGCCCCGGUAAACGGCGGCCGUAACUAUAACGGUCCUAAGGUAGCGAAAUUCCUUGUCAGGUAAGUUCUGACCCGCACGAAAGGCGUAAUGAUUUGGGCGCUGUCUCGACAAUGUACUCGGCGAAAUUGUAGUACUAGUGAAGAUGCUAGUUACCUGCGACAAGACAGAAAGACCCCAUGGAGCUUUACUGUAGCUUGAUACUGGGUUUCGAUAAUUUAUGUACAGGAUAGGUGGGAUGCAAAGAAGCAAGUGCGCCAGCAUUUGUGGAGCAGACGUUGGGAUACCACCCUUAAGUUAUUGGAAUUCUAACCUGUAGUCAUGAACUGGCUAGGGGACAAUGUCAGGCGGGCAGUUUGACUGGGGCGGUCGCCUCCAAAAGAGUAACGGAGGCGCGCAAAGGUUUCCUCAGCGCGGACAGAAAUCGCGCAAGAGAGUGCAAAGGCAGAAGGAAGCUUAACUGAGAGACUGACAAGUCGACCAGAUACGAAAGUAGGUCUUAGUGAUCCGGCGGUAGUGAGUGGAAAUGCCGUCGCUCAACGGACAAAAGUUACCCUGGGGAUAACAGGCUUAUCUCCCCCAAGAGUUCACAUCGACGGGGAGGUUUGGCACCUCGAUGUCGGCUCAUCACAUCCUGGAGCGGAAGUACGUUCCAAGGGUUGGGCUGUUCGCCCAUUAAAGUGGUACGCGAGCUGGGUUCAGAACGUCGUGAGACAGUUCGGUCCUUAUCUGUCGCAGGCGCAGGAUAUUUGAGGGGAGUUGACCUUAGUACGAGAGGACCAGGUUGAACUUACCAAUGGUGUAUCAGUUGUCAUACCAAUGGCACGGCUGAGUAGCUAAGUAGGGAAGGGAUAAACGCUGAAAGCAUCUAAGUGUGAAGCCCACCCCAAGAUAAGAUAUCCCAUACCGUAAGGUAGUAAGAUUCCACAAAGACUAUGUGGAGAUAGGUUGGAGGUGUAAGUGCAGUAAUGCAUGUAGCUGACCAAUACUAAUAAAUCGAGGGCUUAACCA